rnacentral:rRNA from 1 species
UGCAAGUCGAACGGUGAAGGCGGAGCUUGCUCUGCUGGAUCAGUGGCGAACGGGUGAGUAACACGUGAGCAAUCUGCCCCUGACUCUGGGAUAAGCGCUGGAAACGGCGUCUAAUACUGGAUACGAGCUGCGAAGGCAUCUUCAGCAGCUGGAAAGAAUUUCGGUCAGGGAUGAGCUCGCGGCCUAUCAGCUUGUUGGUGAGGUAAUGGCUCACCAAGGCGUCGACGGGUAGCCGGCCUGAGAGGGUGACCGGCCACACUGGGACUGAGACACGGCCCAGACUCCUACGGGAGGCAGCAGUGGGGAAUAUUGCACAAUGGGCGAAAGCCUGAUGCAGCAACGCCGCGUGAGGGACGACGGCCUUCGGGUUGUAAACCUCUUUUAGCAGGGAAGAAGCGAAAGUGACGGUACCUGCAGAAAAAGCGCCGGCUAACUACGUGCCAGCAGCCGCGGUAAUACGUAGGGCGCAAGCGUUAUCCGGAAUUAUUGGGCGUAAAGAGCUCGUAGGCGGUUUGUCGCGUCUGCUGUGAAACCCCGAGGCUCAACCUCGGGCCUGCAGUGGGUACGGGCAGACUAGAGUGCGGUAGAGGAGAUUGGAAUUCCUGGUGUAGCGGUGGAAUGCGCAGAUAUCAGGAGGAACACCGAUGGCGAAGGCAGAUCUCUGGGCCGUAACUGACGCUGAGGAGCGAAAGGGUGGGGAGCAAACAGGCUUAGAUACCCUGGUAGUCCACCCCGUAAACGUUGGGAACUAGUUGUGGGGUCCAUUCCACGGAUUCCGUGACGCAGCUAACGCAUUAAGUUCCCCGCCUGGGGAGUACGGCCGCAAGGCUAAAACUCAAAGGAAUUGACGGGGACCCGCACAAGCGGCGGAGCAUGCGGAUUAAUUCGAUGCAACGCGAAGAACCUUACCAAGGCUUGACAUAUACGAGAACGGGCCAGAAAUGGUCAACUCUUUGGACACUCGUAAACAGGUGGUGCAUGGUUGUCGUCAGCUCGUGUCGUGAGAUGUUGGGUUAAGUCCCGCAACGAGCGCAACCCUCGUUCUAUGUUGCCAGCACGUCAUGGUGGGAACUCAUGGAAUACUGCCGGGGUCAACUCGGAGGAAGGUGAGGAUGACGUCAAAUCAUCAUGCCCCUUAUGUCUUGGGCUUCACGCAUGCUACAAUGGCCGGUACAAUGG